rnacentral:rRNA from 1 species
GACGAACGCUGGCGGCGUGCUUAACACAUGCAAGUCGAACGGAGUGGCGAACGGGUGAGUAACACGUGGGUGACCUGCCCUGCACUUCGGGACAAGCCUGGGAAACUGGGUCUAAUACCGGCUAGUGAGGGAUGGGUCCGGGGCCUAUCAGCUUGUAGGUGAGGUAAUGGCCUACCAAGGCGGCGACGGGUAGCUAGCCCGAGCGGGUGGACGGCCACAUUAGGACUGAGAGACGGCCCAGACUCGUACGGGAUGCAGCAGUGGAGAGUAUUGCACAAUGAGCGGAAGCCUGAUGCAGCGACGCCGCGUGGGUAAUGACGGCCUUCGGGUUGUGAACACCGAUCGCCAUCGACGCGGUAGCUGAACAAAAAGCACCGGCUAACUACGUGCCAGCAGCCGCGGUAAUCC